rnacentral:rRNA from 1 species
AGCGAACGCUGGCGGCAGGCUUAACACAUGCAAGUCGAGCGGGCGUAGCAAUACGUCAGCGGCAGACGGGUGAGUAACGCGUGGGAACAUACCUUUUGGUUCGGAACAACACAGGGAAACUUGUGCUAAUACCGGAUAAGCCCUUACGGGGAAAGAUUUAUCGCCGAAAGAUUGGCCCGCGUCUGAUUAGCUAGUUGGUGAGGUAACGGCUCACCAAGGCGACGAUCAGUAGCUGGUCUGAGAGGAUGAUCAGCCACAUUGGGACUGAGACACGGCCCAAACUCCUACGGGAGGCAGCAGUGGGGAAUAUUGGACAAUGGGCGAAAGCCUGAUCCAGCCAUGCCGCGUGAGUGAUGAAGGCCCUAGGGUUGUAAAGCUCUUUUGUGCGGGAAGAUAAUGACGGUACCGCAAGAAUAAGCCCCGGCUAACUUCGUGCCAGCAGCCGCCGUAAG